GUGUUUUAUGGCACUUUUUAAAUCCAUAUCCACCUUGUGUGCAAUGUCAGUCGGUCUUCUUUAUGGAGAUCGGCCAAACAUCAACCUAAUUUUUUAACUCUUUGUCUGAAAAAUAUUAUGAAUAAAAUAAUUCAAAAUACAACUUUCAACAACGGAUCUCUUGGCUCUCGCAUCGAUGAAGAACGCAGCGAAAUGCGAUACGUAAUGUGAAUUGCAGAAUUCAGUGAAUCAUCGAAUCUUUGAACGCAUAUUGCGCUCUUUGGUAUUCCGAAGAGCAUGCUUGUUUGAGUAUCAGUAAACACCUCAAAACUUUUUUUUAUUUUUGAAAAACAGUUUUGGACUUGAGCAAUCCCAACACCAAUCUUUUUUAGAUCGGUGGCGGGUUGCUUGAAAUGCAGGUGCAGCUGGACAUUCUCCUGAGCUAAAAGCAUAUUUAUUUAGUCCCGUCAAACGGAUUAUUACUUUUGCUGCAGCUAAUAUAAAGGGAGUUUGACCGUUUUGGCUGACUGAUGCAGGAUUUCACAAGGGUCGGCAACGAUUCUUGUAAAACUCGAUCUCAAAUCAAGUAAGACUACCCGCUGAACUUAAGCAUAUCAAUAA
rnacentral:rRNA from 1 species